UACGGAGGGGACUAGCGUUGUUCGGAAUUACUGGGCGUAAAGCGCACGUAGGCGGAUUUGUAAGUCAGGGGUGAAAUCCCGGGGCUCAACCUCGGAACUGCCCUCGAUACUGCAAAUCUCGAGUCCGAGAGAGGUGAGUGGAAUUCCUAGUGUAGAGGUGAAAUUCGUAGAUAUUAGGAAGAACACCAGUGGCGAAGGCGGCUGACUGGUCCGGAUCUGACGCUGAGGCGCGAAAGCGUGGGGAGCAAACAGG
rnacentral:rRNA from 1 species